UUCAUUCGCACUCCUCUAUCUAUCAAUGGCUCAACUCCUCUUAAAUUCUUCAUAUUCUUUCAUGCUCAGAUCUAUCAGCCCUUCUUUCAAAUCCAUUUACAACCAACUUUCUCUCAAAUCACAUAAAUCCUCAAAUCUUCCCCAGCUACCUCCUCAACUACUUUCCUAAGCCUCAUUAACCCGCAUAAUUUCUUAGUCACAGUUUAUUAUAUAUGGAAUCAGUGAGAUAAACCUUACUCAUGCAUCGCCUGCCACCCUAGUGCCAACCCAAGUGCUAAAGACAAAGUGGAUAAGGUGCUUGACUACUAAACCCCUACACUGAGGUCACUUCCUCCAGCUACCACUAGAAUGGGAUCAAGAUCCACUGUUUCAAGAUUGAGGCUUAAUGGCCCAAAUGGGUUUACAUUUGGGU